UCCUACGGGGGGCAGCAGUGGGGAAUAUUGCACAAUGGGGGAAACCCUGAUGCAGCAACGCCGCGUGAGUGAAGAAGGUUUUCGGAUUGUAAAGCUCUGUUAGCAGGGAAGAGGAAGGACGGUACCUGCAGAGGAAGCCACGGCUAACUACGUGCCAGCAGCCGCGGUAAUACGUAGGUGGCGAGCGUUAUCCGGAAUGAUUGGGCGUAAAGGGUGCGCAGGCGGUCCUGCAAGUCUGGAGUGAAACGCAUGAGCUCAACUCAUGCAUGGCUUUGGAAACUGGAGGACUGGAGAGCAGGAGAGGG
rnacentral:rRNA from 1 species